rnacentral:rRNA from 1 species
UGGCUCAGGAUUAACGCUGGCGGCGUGCCUAAUGCAUGCAAGUCGAACGUGGCGCGUUCGGGCGUUAACGUGGCGGACGGGUGAGGAACACGUGGGGAACCUGCCCAUCGGUGGGGGGUAGCCCGCGGAAACGCGGGGUAAUUCCGCAUACGCUGGCCUGGGGAUAGCCCGGGUCAGGAAAGGGUCUUCGGACUCGCCGAUGGAGGGGCCUGCGUCCGAUUAGCUUGUUGGUGGGGUAACGGCCUACCAAGGCGAUGAUCGGUAGCUGGUCUGAGAGGACGGCCAGCCACAGGGGAACUGAGACACGGUCCCCACUCCUACGGGAGGCAGCAGCAAGGAGUUUUCCGCAAUGGGCGAAAGCCUGACGGAGCAACGCCGCGUGGGGGAUGACACCUUUCGGGGCGUAAACCCCUUUUCUUGGGGACGAAGCAGUGACGGUACCCGAGGAAGAAGGCCCGGCUAACUACGUGCCAGCAGCCGCGGUAAUACGUAGGGGCCGAGCGUUGUCCGGAGUUACUGGGCGUAAAGCGCGCGCAGGCGGCUCGUCAAGCCUGACGUGAAAGCCCCCGGCUCAACCGGGGAGGGUCGUCGGGGACUGGCGAGCUUGAGGUCGGCAGGGGCUGGUGGAAUUCCCGGUGUAGUGGUGAAAUGCGUAGAGAUCGGGAGGAACACCCGUGGCGAAGGCGGCCAGCUGGGCCGGACCUGACGCUGAGGCGCGAAGGCGUGGGGAGCGAACGGGAUUAGAUACCCCGGUAGUCCACGUAGUAAACGAUGCAGACUAGGCGUGGGGGGACUUGACCCCCUCCGUGCCGAAGCUAACGCGUGAAGUCUGCCGCCUGGGGAGUACGGCCGCAAGGCUAAAACUCAAAUGAAUUGACGG